ensembl:lincRNA
UUUUCUUGUUCCCAGGAGGUGAUCAGAGUUAGGAAUUACACUUACUGACCUGGACCUCGCGUUUUUGCGGAGACGCGGAAACAAGAUGUGUGCAGUCCGUCUGUCCAAUGAUUAGCCAGCCGACCUGGAGAGGGCCCUGGAAGGUGCCCAAAGGCAAGUCCGGUUCCGUCCCUCCUAGGGUCCAGGACAGCCCGCGCCGCGCGGGCCGGCAGCCGGAGCAGUCAGAGCGGCUGGGCGGUUGGCGCUGCCGGGUCUGCUGCCGACCUCUCAGGCCAAGCGCGCCUGGGCACCGCACUCACUCGCGGGGUGGGCGGGUGAAGGUGGGAGGAUCAGAGAUGGGAGCGUGGGGAGGGGGGCAAACCCCACCCUUAAACACAAGAAAACAGGUGCAGAGGCUGCGGGCGAUGGUCCUGCAGGGGAGGGGACUGGAGGAGAAGUUUUGGUGGCGAGGGAGCAGGAACAGUGUCCAGGGUCUCUCAGCCGCCUCCCGGGCUUGCAAGCCCGCUCAGCCAGACCUUACCCAGAGGGGCGCCCCCUCGCGGGUCCGCAGCCACCACCUGCAGCUGCUGCUGUCACCUGCUGUGCCACCCCCAAGUUUGAUACUCUGGGCGUUUGCGCCACCCCUACCUCCCUUCCCUUCCACGAAUCUCUCCCUUUGCUCUCUAACCCCCAGUUCCGCGAGAGAUGGCCCGGCGAAGACAGACCUCCUGGACUUGAGGCCGACUUCACCAAAUCCGCCCCGGGAAAAGGCGAGGGCAAAGGCGGGGCGGACAGACCCAGCUGCGGCUGAGGGACUGAGGUCCCUAGCAAGGCAGGAGCAGAGAUGGGGAGCUGGAUCCGCGCAGAACCCCGGAAAAGCGCCAGCAGGAUUGCACCGAGAACAAAUCCUCCGCACCCUCGCCCAGGGCUGGGGCGCAGUGCGCUGGUGCUCCUCUAGCUGGGCGGUCCCUGUGCUCCAAACAAGAAGGUAAAGCGAGUUCAGAUCCUGCUGCCCAUGAUCAGCAAUUUCCCUAACAGGUGUCUGCAGACAGUUUAUAAGUUGAGUAGUGCAGAUUCAGACUCGAUAGCCAGGAACCUGUGUAGUGAGCUCUGGCUCAGGUUAAAAGCUAGGAUAGGGAUAGGAUAGGAAAGCUAUGGGACACGAAUAAAACACAAUCUCUCUCUCUCUCUCUCCAGAUAGCUGACUUCCGGAUCCUUCACUCUUUGAUCCUGACCCAAGCCACUCGUGCCACUAGAAGCGCAUGCCUAUGGAAUACUCGCUCCUGUCUCCUUGUGGUGAAGCCUUCCGCUAAUGCCCAGAGCCUCCCAGGCUGGAUUAGUGGGUAGGAGCAAAACAGGAUAGUGGAGACAAUCAGCAGAGCAGCAGCGUCUAUUUCCUCGGGAUUCCUCCCAGGAACCCUAUUCGAAGCCAUUCCUUCUAAAAGUUUGCAGCCAGUCUCUCUUUCCUUUGUUGGUUUUAAGAGGAGGCAGUAGAGCUACCUACAUACAAAAACGAAAGCCUGAUACUGGUAACCUAAGUCUUUACUUAACCAUCCUCUUCGGAGGCUUUGCACACAUUACUUUUCCUCUAUGCAUUGUCAUUUCUGAAAUAAGGAUGGUCAUACUGGUGUGCUUGGAAUUUCUCUGAAAUAUACUCCUAAAAGAUUAGAUUAAGAUUAGAUUCCGCUACUCUAAAAUGAAAAAAAUAUAUUUAUCUGUUUAAAAAGGUAAUACAUAUUCUCCAAGAUGUUAAUUAAAGGCUUCCCUCAAAUGGAUUGGAUUUUCAGUUCCUUCAGGGUUUUCCACACCCUAAUGGUAUUGCAUUUGUAAGGCAUUUUUACAGUGUAACCUGAAAUUAAUCUUCAGUUAAUAUAGUAUUAUGCCCACAGGAGUAUAGGAAUUGUUUAUAAAACAAAGCAGCCUGGGCUUUUCAAAUACCUAGAAACAAAGGUAAACAGAAAUGGAAAUGUUUAACAUGUUCUACACAGUUCCACUUAAAGUCUUUUAGUAGUUGUUUUUGUUUUGUUUUGUUUUGUUUGUUUUUUCCUUAAGAAAGUACUCUUUGCCCAAAUAUGUGUUAUGUGUGACAGGUUCCAUUCUUCUCAAUAUAUCUGCAUUGGUGAAGAAUGAACCAUAUACCAAUAAGUUAUAACUUUAAAAGAGUAGAAAUGGAUUUAAACAAUGACCACAAAAACAAAUCAAAUAUCCAGCAAAACAGAUGAGUGUUGUCUUUUAGGGCAAUUGCUUUGGAAAAUUCAACUGAUUUCACUGACAUUGAUUGCACAAAACACAUUUUAUCUUCUUUAAAAUUGCCUUUCAGAAGCGUAUUAGCAGCCAUAACCAACUAUUUGCCUCACUCUCUUAUAGAUGUGUGUUUGUCUUAGUAGAUUCAUAUAGUUCCACAGACAUCUAGUCAGCAACCUCAAAAGAGUAAAUGGUCUCUCUGAUUAAUGUCCUUUAAUAAAGUUCAGAAUUGGAUGAGAAACUGAUAAACUGAAAUGAAAGUCACUUCAUAGUGUAUCAUAUUAUCAAGGAGAGCUGUGGGAAUUAGCUUAUGACACUUUUGUGCAUCACAGUCUAAUUCAUAUCCUUAAAUGUGCAUACAUAUCCUGUGUAUUGUAGUAACAACGAACCACUCUGAUGAAUGUCCAUAAACCCAGUUGUGACACUGACAGGAGUUUGGGAGUUUGUGGAAGUGGUGGUGAAAUAUCGAUUAAUCCAAAUUGAAAUAGGACAAGAUUAUUGAUGCUUGAUUUCUUUUGUAUCAAAUCAUUUAGUUGCUCAGGAAAUUCCAUUUCUAACCAGAAUAUGUGCUGUGACUGCUCUUCAAAUAGACAACAGACUCAAACUCAGAUGCCUGCAUGGUUAGGGCCAAUGACAUAAAUGGACCAGCAUGCUAGGUUGUAGGAGAGAGUGGAAAAUGUUGAUUGCCAUAACACCUUGAAGAGCACAAAAGCACAUGCUAUAGCUAAAUGGGGAGAUUGCUUCUCAGAUUACACUCAGCUGGCCUGCAAAAAUCUUGAUUCAGUAUUCUCAGAUACGAUUUUUAAGAGAAGCAAAAUCCAUAUUGUUAAAAAUCUUCUGAAUUUUAAAUAAACCAAAUUAAUUUUUAAAAAUCCAAAACUCCUAGUGGACAGGCCAAAAUAAAUAAGAAAUCAUAGAUAGAUAGAUAGAUAGAUAGAUGAUAGAUAGAUAGAUAGAUAGAUAGAUAGAUAGAUAGAUAGAUAGCAGCCUGACUCAUCAUGGGCCUCCAAUAUUGUAACCUGUUACAUUAAUAUUUGAUGUCUGACAAAUCUCCUUAAAUAUUUAAAACAUAGUUCUACUACCAUUUCCCCUACCCCAUAGACCAUUUCUCAAUGCACAGAAAUACAAAAGGAAUACAGCCAAAGAUUAGUUGCCAAAUAAGUAAUUUUCUUUUCCAUUUCUGGUUGAAUAGAUAUUCCCAAGGAGACUCUGAAGUAAGAGAUUUGUUGAAUAACUGAACAAUCCAAAUAUUUUAGAUAGCUAGAUGAAAUUUCAGAAAAGCUCUCCAUUAAAAAAGUUCAAUAAUAUCAGUAUUGAGGACCACUUGUGAUACAUACUUAUUAGAUAAAGAAAAUCAUGAUACAGAUUUCCUUCAGUGUAAUUUCAUUUUAACAGCAAAGAUGCUUCCCCCAU